CUUCUACCUCCACCAGAUGAUUCCCUUAGGACUGAGUAUCUGAUUCAAGGACCAUGAAAUUGAUAAAAAGAACAAAGCAGACAAAUGACUAUGAGGAAUUAGUAAUGCAGACUCAAGAUUUAAAGGCAUGCAUAUGUUAUGAACAGCUGUCGCGAGUCUAACAGGGAUCAAUGGUGGUACCGUGACAUUACUUGGGCAGAGGUCAAGAAGCAUUUGAUGAAGAGGACAAGGACCAGCAGAGGCCUACCUGGGAAAAACUGUCAUGAUCAAAGAACUGUUUCCUGAGGAUUUAUGAUCCUGAGUAGAACCUGCUAGUUUCCCUAAUAAAGUCCAUAGUUGUGAGUA